UGGAACAAUAAAAAAUUGGUUACUUUUCUUCAUCUUCUCCAUCAUCACCUUUCUCUUCUCCUCAGCUUAUCACCAUAACCUCCAUAUCUACCGCUUCCUCCACCUCAACCACAACAACCUCCACUUCAGUAUCCACCACCACCUCGACCACGACCUUCACCUCCAUAUCCUCCACCCUCACGUCUUUCACCUCCACUGUAUCCACCACCUCCUCUUCCUCUCAAAUAACCACCUUCACCACCACCCCCACCCCCACCACCAUUACAUCCACCCUCACAUCUUCUACCUCCAUAACCACCAAAGCCUCCAGUUCAGAUCCACCACCAUCUCCACCACGGCCUUCACCUCCAUAUCCCCCAUCCUCACAUCUUUCCCCUCCACCGUUUCCACCACACCUCCUCCUCUCGAAUAACCACCUCCACCCCAUUGUAUCCAUCGGAGCCAGAGUCUUGGUUUUCCUCUCCAACAUCGUCAUUUUCAGAUUCUUCUUCAGUACAACCACUUCCUCAUCAUCAGCUUUGCCCAUAAUUUUUGUGUAAUCAAAUCAUAAACAUCUUUUUAUUCAUAACCAGGUUUGAAUGAAACUCUUAAUCGCGAAAUUUUAGAAACAAUUGAGAACUUUUUGUUCAUACCGUUUAUAGCUUUGAUGAGCGUUGUGUUGUUGGAGAGAACUUUUAGCGUUGAGAACCCCAAAGUUGUUGCCAUGCAGAGAACCGAUCGCAUCGCCAGCGCUUCCGCUAUGAGUGGUGACUUGACGAAUGUUUGAAUCUCCGAUCCCAGAGAAGGAGAUGUCAGAGGCGGGCCUGAGAAGAUCUACCCUAAUUCCGCUGUCUUCUUGUUUGAGUUCCAAGCACCGUCUGUCUUGCAAGUAAUCGAUACUGCUUCCUCUGUUCUUCUCGAUGAUUGCUCCGGAGAGAACCGAGUACCUGCAGUUUCCUCCGGUGUGAUUUCUUUAUCCUCGAAGACUAGUGUAUUCCUUGUUGUCCAAAUGGUCCAACAGAUCCACGGGAGGAUGUUGAAAGUGACACCUGAGUGUGGGAGGCAUAUUGCUGAUCGGAAUUUGACUACUACCUCUUUGAAAGAACAGUCUACAACUAUGUGAACUGCUAGACGUAAUGGAACACAACUCCAGACCUUAAUCGCAAAGGGACAAUUAAAGAAGGUUUGCUUUUAGGGGGAGGGCAUUUUGCGCAAUCGACCAAAGGAAAGCUCACAUUUUUGAUGAUGCUGUAAAGUAACAUGAUUUUUUGGAGUAAACUCCUGAGGAUGUGGGUUGCCAGAUAUACUAGUCCUCUGCUGCUUUGGAACUUGGUUGCAGACAUUGGAUCUGAGCAAUAAACUCAGGCUGAUAAAGCAAGACAUUGUAUACGUUGAGAUGGCCCUGAGCACGGAUUUGAGCAUUGUGAGUUUUCCAGCCUGGGAAAGCCUCUUCGUUGACCAGCUAAUUGCUUUAUGCCUGAUUCUAUCUACUAUAGAGGUGGAGAUUUACUCGAGAAGGUGAUUGAUGACUUAGUUUUGUUGAUCAUUUGGCCUGUGGCUUGUUUAUACACCUUCAGAAUACACAUGAGAGCUUCGCAGUUUGUGGAGGAAGCUAAGCAGAAGAACAUGGUGUCAUCUGCAAAAAGUAGAUGACUCACUCUCGGACUGCCUCGAGCUACUCUGACUCCCUGGAACAAGCCUUUCUUUUCCGCACUCUUGCACAAACCCGACAAUGCUUCGCUGCAGAGGAUGAAGAUGUAAGGGGAUAGGGGAUCUCCUUGCCUAAUUCCCCGAGAAGGUAUGACUUCUCUGUAGAAUGAGUCAUUUACUAGAUAGGAAUAACUUACUGUUCUAAUGCAUUGCAUGAUCCAGUUGAUCCAAGUUGAGUGAAGCGUAGUCUUUCUAGCACUUGUGAAAUGAACAUCCACUCAUUUUUUUCAUACGCUUUCGACAUAUCCGUCUCACAGCCAUAGUACAAUUAUUCUCUGCCUUUGACGUCUUAAGAAAAUGUAGAACCUCAUGAGUGAUCAAAAAAAUGUCAGCAUUAGCCCUUCCCGGAAUGAAAGCUGAUAAGUUCUCAGAAUAUCGAGCCUAGGACUGUUUUUAGCCUUAUAGACAGUAGUUUUGAGAUUAUCUUGUAAUAGAUAUUGCAGAGGGCAAUGGGUUUGUAGUCUUCUACACUGUGUGCUCCUGUGAUUUGGGAAUCAGCCUCACAUGUGUUUUAUUGAUUGAUGGUGCGAGGCAACCUGUGGAGAAGAACAUUUGGAUUUCAUUUAUCACCGCUUGCCCGAUGAUCUCCCAGUUGGACUGAAAGAAACUGGCUGAGAAGCCUCGUCUGGACCAGGAGCCUUGUCUGCAUUAAUAGCAAAGGGUUGAAGUGCUUGUGCAAUUGUUUGUUGCCCAUUGAAAACCCGUAGAUUGGAAGAUGUUAGCGUAAUAUGCUGAGAUCACCUUUGAGAUGUCUUCCUCUUCAUUCACAGAAAUACCCAGUGUUUGAGUCGCCAAGAGCAAGCCAAAGCUGUCUACUUAGCUGCUUCCAGAACUCUUCUUCCGCUUUGUAGAGGUGUAACAGCGCCACAAUUUUUUGACUAUUUUCAUGGAAUUGUUUGCUGCAUGCGCAUAUGGCCUUCCUACAGAGAGAGCCUUUCUUCUACUGUUAGGUAAGAAAAUGUCUCCCAAAUCUGUUUUAUGAUAUAUUUUACUUUCAUGUUGUCUUUCAGACGUCUAUCAUAAAUUAUUUUAUGUAAAUAGCUGAAUUGCUAAGCUAUCACAAUAGACCUUGCGAUGCACGAAGAUUUUAUGUAAAUAGCACAGUAUACUAAUAGUUCUGAAACACUGUUCUUUUAAA